UGCCCAGCAAGUACUAUCCCUACCUCCUCGUGGUACUGGCCGGGGUACGAAUAACCUUGGGGAAGA
rfam:Aedes aegypti strain Liverpool supercont1.155 genomic scaffold, whole genome shotgun sequence.